rnacentral:rRNA from 1 species
AUUGAACGCUGGCGGCAUGCUUUACACAUGCAAGUCGAACGGCAGCGGGGGCUUCGGCCUGCCGGCGAGUGGCGAACGGGUGAGUAAUGCAUCGGAACGUGCCCAUGUCGUGGGGGAUAACUACGCGAAAGCGUGGCUAAUACCGCAUACGCCCUGAGGGGGAAAGCGGGGGAUCUUUCGGGACCUCGCGCGAUUGGAGCGGCCGAUGUCGGAUUAGCUAGUUGGUGGGGUGAAGGCUCACCAAGGCGACGAUCCGUAGCUGGUCUGAGAGGAUGGUCAGCCAGACUGGGACGGAGACACGGCCCGGACUCCUACGGGAGGCAGCAGUGGGGAAUUUUGGACAAUGGGCGCAGGCCUGAUUCAGCCAUGCCGCGUGAGUGAAGAAGGCCUUCGGGUUGUAAAGCUCUUUCGGCCGGGAAGAAAUCGCAUUCUCUAAUAUAGGAUGUGGAUGACGGUACCGGACUAAGAAGCACCGGCUAACUACGUGCCAGCAGCCGCGGUAAAAC